rnacentral:lncRNA from 1 species
ACCCCUUAUGUUUAUCCCCUUUUGCAAAACCUCAAUUUUGACUCGGUCAACGCAUAUGUAGCACCUCACUUGAGUGAGUUGGAUGCCACGUGUGUAAUUUUCAAAUUAAAAAAAAAUAAAAAGCCACAUAUUUAUCAAUUGAAUUAAAAAAAUGAAAAAAUGAAAAGAAAGAAGGAGAGUGCACGUGAGUUCUCACACCACCACCUCUCCCUCCAACUUCUUCUCUCUCGUUCUUCAUUCUCACUAAUCUUCAUCCUUCUUCUUUAAGUUUUAUUAUUCUUCUCCUUCUUCUUCACUUCAUUAUUCCACCUUCACGUGGGGGUGGCUGAGUCUAUUUUGCUAUCACUUUUGUUCUCUCACUUUUGCUCCACUCCUUCAUCUUUUUCAUUUAUUUUCCAAAGUCACAUUACUGGUCCUUCAUCUAAAAUGAAAACAGUCAAUCUUCUUCUUUCACGCAACCCUAGAUCACCACCUUCAAUUUUCAGUAUUCCAAAUCUGUGAGUUUUGAAGGAGGAUGAGUCAAUUUUUAUUUGAUUCAGAUUUUGUGGGUCAGAUUAGAAAGAGAAUGAAAAAGAUUUUGUGGGUUAAUAUUCCAAAAAUGAAGGAUGAUGAUGGGAUGAAUGAUGAUGAUGAAACUGGAGAGAGGAUGAGUGUUGGUGAUGAAGGAUAAGGAUGUGUGUUGAUUUUGAUUUUGAUUUUAAUUUCGAAGGAGGAUGGGUCAGUUCUGAUUUGAUUCAUAAUGUUUUUAAUUUUAUUUUUUUUAUUUGUUUUAAUUAAUUUAUGAAAAGAGAAUAAGUAGUUGUUGGGUUUGAUGGAUUGCUGGGUAAAGAAGAUGAUGAAUGAGGAGAUUGAUGAAUAAAGAUAAGAGAGAAAGAAUGGUGGGAGCUUCUCACGUGCCCCUUCCUAUUCUUUUCUAUUUUUUUUAAUUUUUUUAAUUUAUAAUAUAUACAUGUGGAAUUUUCUUUAUUUUUUUUAUUCAAAAAAUAAACAUCUGUCAGUUCUUUAAGUUAUGUGGCGUGCCAUGCAGGAUUGACUAGGUCAAAAUUGAG